AAGAGAUUGCUGUGAGCUGCAAUCCACUAGUAUUAUUCAUUAAUCAUAUAUUAAAAACAUUAUUUUUCUUCAAUUUUAUUUUAAGCAUAGCCAACAUUGGAAUAAAAACUUUAUAUAAUCCACCAUAAUGACUUUAGAAUUAACGCUUAAUUUAUAAUAAAAAUUUAAGCAUUUUCUAUUGAGAAUACUUCAUAAAAAAAUAUAAACAUUGAAACCGUCCAUAAACUUAAUUAAUUUCUGUUUAUUCUUAAAGGUAAAAGUUUUAAUUUAACAAAAUUUACAUAGUGAAAGAUCACACUCAUAAUCUAAAUUACGACGAUCGUCCUCGCAAAUAUCGUUUGAUGCUGAAACUUCCCAUUCAGGUUUGUUAAGAUGGAUUAUUCUAGUCUGUAAUUGGGAAGACUAGUACUGGUUGGUUAAUUGAUUAAGGACAAUCUAAUUCUAGUAUAUAAAAAGAAUGGAAAAAGGGCAGGCUAUCUGUCUCUUAGCAUAAUGGUUGUAUUAUUGGGAUUUGGAAUGUAGCUAGAGCUACCUUUGUUUGCUCCAAAUUCUACUCAGUGCAAUCCUUAUCUAGAGCAGCCUCUCUCUUUCUAAUUAAUGGAAACAAAAACGAAGUGACAUAAUGUGUUUUCUUUUUGGUUUUUCUGUUUUACUUUCCUUCUCAACAAUAUGAAAAUGAAAUAAAUAUAACAAAAUGUGUCCUUUUUUCUUUUUUUUUUUACUUGUAUAAAAUUAAUUUGAAGAGUGUUAUUGAAAAGGAAAAGUAUUCAUGUAAUGCAAUUCAGGAACAUAUUAGCAAUUAUGGUGAUGUAGACAAUAAGUUUUAAAUUUAGAGUAUUAGUUUGAAGAAUAAUUCUAAUUAUCACUUGGACUAUAAUUAGUGACCUAUGGGCCCUUGUUUUGAUCAAUAAUGCUAAUGCCUCUACCUAACUUAUCACAUCCUUCCCCACCACCAUAGAAAGAUUAGUAGAUAGAUAGAGAUAGAUAGAAACUAUCUAUUCUAAUUCUAAAUGAAGAAAUUAAAAAAAGAAAAAUAGCAAUAUCAUAAAUUUAACUCUGAACUUUGACUGAUGAUUCUCUAGAUUUUGAAAAAGUGUUGAUUCGGUAUCUUUCUUUUUCACAUUUUAUUUUAUUAAUGAAUAUAAUUAUUAUUGAAAUUUAAAAAUUAAGGGAAUUACAAGAAUAAUCGAUGAUACGAGAUUCAAGAAAUCAGAAGAAUAAUGAACAAACACAUGGUCAAAUUUAUGCAUUAUCCUCUAUAUUUCAAUUACCUUUUUUGCUUUUAUCUAUGCACAUUCAUACAUACAUACAAAACACGAGCCGCAUACCCUAGCUGAUUAAUUAAUAGCCGAUCCAUUCUGGAGCCGACUGAAAUGUCGUGCCUAACAGAACACUGAAAAGCUGCACUCUCUCUCUCUUCUCAUAUAUCCCUCAGAACUCGUUUCAGUGUCCUCCAGAUUCUCUCUCUCUCUCCAUAAAAGGCCCAUCUCUGCUCUUUUGCCACCCACACAAACACAAACACAAACAAUCCAUACCCAAUUCCACAUUCUUCUUUGCUGUCCAUUUUCUCAACUCUUUUAAUCUUUAUCUUCUUCUUUCUCGAAUAUUGAUCAUAACUAACCAAAAGCAAAGCAGAACAAAACAAAGAAGAACGAAACCUAAAUUACCCACUUCCCAUUUCCCAAAAUGCCAUCAGACUCUUCUUCCACUGAAACUAGAAGAUUAACUAAACCCCAUAACACAGGAGCUCCACCGCCAGACCAAGAACACCUUCCAUGCCCGCGCUGCGAUUCUACUAACACUAAGUUCUGCUAUUACAACAACUAUAAUUUUUCCCAGCCUCGUCAUUUCUGUAAGUCUUGUCGCCGUUACUGUCCCCCCGGCGGCACCCUUCGUGCCAUUCCGGUUGGUGGUGGCACUCGGAAAAAUGCUAAAAGAUCACGCACCACUUCUAGUGGUUGUACUGUAGUAGGGCCUAUGACGGCCAACACAGCUGACCAUAACAUUCCAUUACCGGCUACACCAGUACUGGUCCCACUUAUGGCCAAACAAGGAAAUUCUAUACAGUUUGGCUGCGGUGGCGGUGAUGGGAAGGGGAAUGGGUGUGGUUCUAGUGGUAAUUCUACAGUAUCUGGUAGCUUUACUUCUUUGUUGAAUACUCAGGGCCCUGGAUUUCUAGCAUUGAGUGGGUUUGGGCUUGGACUUGGAUCUGGGUUUGAAGAUAUGGGCUUUGGGCUUGCAAGAGGAGUCUGGCCUUUUCCCGGUGUAGGAGAUGGUGGUGCUGGCGGUGUUGGUAGCAAUGGCGGUUCUGCUGGAGGAAUGAGUAACACGUGGCAAUUUGAGAGUGGUGAUAAUGGAUUUGUAGGUGGGGAUUGCUUUUCUUGGCCAGAUCUUGCUAUUUCAACCCCAGGAAAUGGUCUUAAAUGAGAUAUUGUUCUUUUAGUAGUUCUUGUUUUUUCUCUGAUGGGUUUAGACCCAAUUCUAGGAAAAAAAAAAAAAAAAAUUAAAGAACCUUGUUUGAUGGGUUUAGUUAAUUAAUUACUACUUACUAUUAAGUGUUGAGAAGAUAAUUAGGUUUGAAAUUAGAAAGAAAAAUAUGUAACUUUUCUUUACUCUAUUUCAUGUGAUUUUGUUAGUUUGAUGUACCUCUUUUUGUGUAGUUUUCAUAUACAUGCCACCCUUUAAAUUCUCUUUUCCUCUCUAGCAAAUUUUUAAUACAAACUUUUUAUUGAAUGAUUAUGGACCGACUAAUCUUAAUUUAAUAUGAAAUUCACAUUUUCUUCUAUUCAUUUCAUGAAUGGGUACAAAUGGAAUUUCCCUUUUAGAGUUUGCAGCAUAUACUUCAAUUUGUAUUUAAUAUAUAAUAAUUGACUGAUUUGAUUUUUGAGGCCCACAUUUAAAUUUUAAUUCUUAGUAUAAUUUAUAAUGAUUUGCUAGUUCAACAUUAAUUGAGUGCAAUCAUUCUCAUUGCAUAAGCAUCACCCAAUUUCUACUCUCCUAUCCCAAUGCAUUACCUGCUCUACAGAAUUCUGCAAUUGAAGUUUCAUAUGCCAGGACCCACAGAGUUGGACCUCUAGAACCUCAGCCUAAUGGUUAAUCAAAUUGCAAAAAUUAUAUUUUCUUUUAUUUUGCAAUUAUUAAAGGAGCAUUUACAUUAAUUAUGAGAUAAAAAAUUAAUUAUGGUGUCGCUUGGUGUUUAUAAUUAAAUUUAACUUCAAUUUUCAUAUCUUUUUCAUUUAAUCAGAUAUUUUGAAUUCAAACCAUGAAAUUUAAUUAGUAAAAAAAUUAUAUAUCUUAUUAGACCAUUUUUAUCGUUGAAGAUACAAUUAUUUUCUUACUCUCGUAACCUACUUGAUACUUCGUUAGUAACAACGUUUGCAUUUUUUAUUGAAAGUGACAUAUUAUCUUAAUAUAGGGUAUAUUAGAAAAAUGCAAGUAAAAUUUAAUAUUAUUCUAAUAAUAUUAAUUGCUUUGCUUAAUCUAUGUAAAAAUAAAAAUAAUAGUAUCUUUUUAGGCCAAAGAGAGUAAUAUAAUAAAAAAAUUAAAUUAAAUAAGAUAGUGUUAUUUUUCUUUAACAUAAAAUAAAAAAGUUAAAGCCAAAUCAAACUAAAUUAUAUAUGAUAGACAUUAUAUAUAAAAGUACGAGGAUAUUGGGUUCCUAAAAUGCGCCGCUAAAUUUUCAAAUUGACAAAAAUAUUAUGGAUCGAGAACUUUAAUUUUAUUGGUUAAAAAAUAAAUAUAGUUUAAUUUUAAUUGUUUACGUUAAUUUACUAUUUGAAUCUAAAUUUUAUUAAAAAUUUUAAUCUAAUUUUAAAUAGAAAAUUUUCUAAUUUAGUCUCAUUUAAAUUUGGAUAAAAAUAAAAUAAAAUAUUAUUAUUUGGAAAUUUUAAUUUUAUUGGUUAACUGAUUUCCUAUUAUAUAAUGAUUUGCUACAUGUAAGGGGAAAAAAAAAAAAGGAUUACGUUAUAUUAAUCCUAUUAUACUACUUUCUACAUUGAAGGAAAAAAAAACAACUGACUAAUUUCUUUCUAUUAUAUUCAUACCUUCUAUACGUGGGUAUAUAUAUAUUCAAAAAAAAAAAAUAUAAAUGAAGAUAUUAUUAAUAUAAAUUAUUAUUAAUUAUAUAUAUAUAGAUUUUGUUUUAUAUAUGAGUUUGAAAAUUAGCUUGUUCGACUCAAUUAGGACUAUUAACUCGAUUAGGAGUAAGAAAUUAGCUUAUUCUACAAAUUAUAUGAAAUCAAUUAUUUACAUAAGCUAGUGUAAAAAAAUUUAUAGUGUUAUCAAAAUCCUUAAUUAUAGCGGUAUAUAUAAUAAAUCCCUCUUAAAUUUUAGGGUGUCACAAUUUUUUUUUUAAAACUUAUAGGUAUUAAUUUAGAUAUUUGGCUACAUAAUUAAUUAUUUCUUCUAUAUGUUUAGAUUUUGAUUUGAUAGAAUUAGAAUAAUAAGGAGAUGACUACAAUAAAUUGAAUUUUUUUAAAAGAAACCGAGCAAAGCUGAAAUUUGUUUAGAACCAAAUCAAACUAAUUUAAUUAAGCUUAGUUUGAUUUACCUUUUUGAUUUUUCCUUAUUUUUUAAGAUUUUUAUAACUUAAAUAGGUUUAAAAAAAAAAGAAUUUUUGAUUUUUCUGUGUACACUAAAAUCAAACUGAUAAAUUUUAAAAUCAAAUUCAUUUGAUUCGAUGGAUUCAGUCUAUUUUUUCAAACAGUGCUCAACCUAAUCCAAUCGAUGAAAUAUGGUAUGGAUAUAAAAAUUUCCAUUUAAAAUUUUCAAGGAAAAUUUCUUUUCCUAAGAUAGCAGAUAUCUAUUUACGUUAAAUUAUAUAUAUAUAUAUAAUCAGUCCAUCUUAUAUUGUCAAAAUCAUUGCAAAUCAUAAAUUCAUAACUAAGUGCUCGUUAAGAUUUUCCAUGGCUCGUCCUAUCUUUAGCAUUUUAGUAGCUUUUUUGCUUAUUAUCAAGUUCCAUGAUUUUGCUGGUAUGUUAUAUUAUUAUUAUUUUUCUGAAAAAUACUAUCAUAUUUGUUUAUUAUUAUACUUUGUAUAGAUUUUUUUGAGUCUGUUGGGUAAAAUUAACUGUUUAAGUGGUUAGUUAUUAACUGUUUGAGUAGUCCUAAAACACUACAAGCUAAACAUUAGAUUAGUUAUUUUUUUUAUAAAACGCUGCCUUAACUUCUAAAUGAAUUGGUUACACAGUUUAAACAAAAUUUUUUCAUCCCUUACUUCUUAUUAAGUUACCCAGUUUUUUCCGAAUGCUAAUUUUGUUGCCUGGUAAACCACCAUUGGUGCUAUGCAGGAGCAGAAAUUGGUGUGACCUUCUCAAGACUAGCAGACAACUUUCCACCAGCACAAGUAGCUGUAAACUUUGCUGAAUCGAAAGGCUUCAAAAGAAUUCGUCUUUACAAGCCCCAUCACGAUGCUUUACAAGCAUUGAAAGGUCAGGGCAUACAAGUGAUCUUAGGAGUUGGCGACGACGAAGUUGAAGCAGUAAGUAAAUCCGCUGCACCGAAAUGGGUCAAAGACAAUGUUGUGCCAUAUGCAAAUCAAAUAACCAUUAUAGCCAUAGCUAUUGGACAUGAUCUAAUCCCUAAUAGUAAAUUAGCAGUUUACGUUCUUCCUGCACUGCAAGCAAUGAAAGAAGCACUGGAAGAUCAUGGGCUUACUCUUAUUUCUGUAACAACGCCAUUUACAUUAAAUACACUUCUUACACAUUUUCCUCCAUCCCAUUCAACUUUUGAUCCGCAAAAGAUUUAUCUUAUUAAACCCAUUAUCAAUUUCUUGGCAACUCACAGUCCUCUUCUUUUAUGUGAUAUUUACCCUUAUGAAGCUUAUCUAAUGGACUCUCACCUUGUUAGUUUAGAUUAUGCUUUGCUUAAUAAGACAAAUGUUGAGGUUCUAGAUGGUCCAUUCGAAUAUACCAAUAUGCUUGAUGGUUUAGUAGAUGCUUUUUACAGUGCAAUUGAAAAACUUGAAGCAGGACCUGUUAAGAUUGUUGUGAGUGAAACUGGGUGGCCGUUUUCUGAAAAAAUAUAUGCUUCUGCUCAAUAUGCAAGAGCGUAUGCUUCAAAUGUGUUCAAACGGGGACAAGCAAAUACAGGAACACCGAAGAAACCUUUUUGGGCAUUGGACGUUUUUGAAUAUAACUUGUUUUUUCAAAAUGAUGCUCCUCUAGAUAAGAAACCAUAUGCUUUAUUUUACCCUAAUAUGUCUGCCAUAUAUUUUAAUUAGGGUUUGUAUUGGAUAUUGUAAAAUCUUAUCACUUUUUUAUUUUAUAACUUAUUGUGUGUAAGAAUAAAUGUGAAAUAAUUUAUAUAUUUUAAGAUUUGCUGUCUGAAGUUUUCAUAUUUUCCAAAUUCAGUUCAAAAACAAUUCCUUACAAAUUAUAUUUUGCCCACUCAAAAUGUUAAAAAUUAAUAUUUCACAGCAUUUGUUUCAGCCCUUGAACUUUAUUUUCUAAUUUCACCCGACACUUGAUAAUGCAUUUCUUUCUUUUUCUUUUCUUUUUUUUUAAUUUUUUUUUGUUAUUUGUGUAUACUUAUCAAUGCUGGCUAUAAUGCAAAGUAAGAGUUCAUUGAGAUAAUAAAUAUUUUCUAUGUAGAUUAGGUUAAAAUCUAUUGCAUUUAAAUUAAGAAAAACAUUGCCUACUCCUUGCGUAUAUCCAGUUAUCCAUUCAUAUGCCAAAUCAAUUAAAAAAAUGUUUUUGGCUGUAAUGGGAUGUUUUUGAUCAUUCAUUGAAAAAAAAAUGAUAGAACAAUAAUAAAUUAAAAAAAUCUCUAUUGAUUGAUUUGUGUACGAUAAAUAUUUAUUAGAGACUUAACUGUAAUUUAUAUAUAAGACCUAAUUAUAUUUUGUGAACUAAAUAUUAUAUUGUGCAUAGAAUUUGAUUACGAUUAUUUCUAAUCAUUCUUCGACACUCAAUUGAUGAUCAAUCACUCCAAAAUAAUUAUUCAAUUCGUAUUUCAAACACUUAUUUAAUAAGGAUUCCAACUACAACUUUAAUCAAUAUCUUUCUACAAAACUCUCUACACAGUUAGGCAAUAUCUACGCAAUAGGCAACAUAGUAUCUAUUUAAUUGGGAUUAUUUAUUAUUCUUUUACUAAGUUAAGAAUCAAAGUGGUUAUUUGAAAUAUCCCGAAUUUUUAUUUUCGAAACUUUCAAAUUUAAUUUAAACCAAAAAUCGAAAAUUUUUACUAUGUGGACUGUAAUUAUAAUACAGUUCCAAAUUCGAGCCCAAACUUUCCGAAUUGGCCCCAAGCCCAAAAGCAAAUUAUUCGAAAUCUUCGAUUUGAAAACACUUAAAAUUUUUGAGAAAUAAUAUGAAACUCCGGUAAUUAAUUUAUGAUGAAUAUAUAUAUAUAUAUUUAAAUACACAAUUAAAACGAAUAGAAAAUUUAUUAGAAGAUAAACCAAUUGUAAAUGAGAAUGUGAAAGGUAAAGAAAAGGUAAAAACUCAUAUGUUUAAACCUUAUCAAAUUUCUCAAUCUAGUCAAAAAGAAUUUGUACAUCAAUUAAAAGAUCAAUUAAGUAAAAUUCAAGUUAGAUCUGCGACUACCCAACAUGUAGCUCAGGAUACUCCUCAAUCAUCAGCAUCAAGAAACAUAAAUAUAAUUGAAGAAAACACCAACUCUGAUGUUAGUGAACCUGACUCAGAAAAUAUUCAACAAUUUGAAAUCAAUCCUAUAAAUCAUCAUAGAGAAAUAGUAAAUAGAGCACCAGACUUAGGAAUUGUUGAUAAACCUAAUACUAUAUCUCAAUUUAAAUAUAAUGCUUCAACAAUCUAUGAAUGGAACAUAGAUGGUUUAAGUGAAUAUAAUAUCUUAAGUAUUUUGCAACAAAUGACAAUGGCUGCAAAUGCUUAUAAAACACAGUCAAUCAUUUCUGAUAAAGCUAUAGCAGAAAUCUUAAUUGCUGGAUUUACCGGCCAACUUAAAGGAUGGUGGGAUUAUCAUCUCACUGACCAACAACAUUUAGAAAUUCUAAAUUCAAUUCAAAUAAAUGAUGAAGGUGAACCUAUAUAUGAUGAAAAUGGUGAAGUAAUUCAAGAUGCGGUGUCAUCUUUAAUUCUCACCAUUUCACUUCAUUUUAUAGGAGAUCCAUCUCACUUAAAAGAUAAAAAUGCCGAGUUACUUAGUAAUUUAAAAUGUAAACAUUUAGGUGAUUUUCAAAAUUAUAAAACGACUUUUCUCACUAGAUUAAUGUUAAGGGAAGACUCUAAUCAAAGCUUUUGGAAAGAAAAGUUUUUAGCUGGGUUACCUUAUUUCUUGGGAGAAAAAGUUAGAAAUCAUAUUAAACAACAACAUGGUCAACCUAUACCUUAUAGUAAGUUAACCUAUGGACAAUUAAUUAGUAUAAUUCAAAAGGAAGGUUUACAAAUAUGUCAUGAUCUAAAACUUCAAAGAAAAAUAAAAUAUGAAAUGCAAAAAACUAAAAAAGAAUUAGGAUCAUUUUGUAAGCAAUUUGAUUAUAAUUUCGUAUCAAACCAACGAUGUGAUGGUCAAUGUUCUAAAACAAAUAAACCUAAAAAAUAUUAUAGAAAUAAAUACUCUAAAAAACAAUAUAGAUAUACACCUAGUCAAGAUAAAUUUUAUAGUAAAAAGAAGACAAAAUCUUCUUAUAGAAACAAAAAUAAACAACCUUCUAGAUCUACCACUAAAACUUCUUAUAAAAAUUUAACUUGUUACAAUUGUGGUAAAAAAGGGCAUACAUCUAAAUUUUGUAAAUUUAAUAAAAGAUUACAUGAAUUAAAUUUGGAAGAAAACGUUUUAAGUAAAAUAUACGAACUCUAUAUUGAUUCGGAUUCUUCGGAAUCUGAGACUAAUGAAAGUGAAAAUCAAAUUGAUGAAUUAGGAACUACUUCAAGUUCUUCCAGUUCAUCAAAAUUUUCUUUAAACAUGUUAUCUAAAGAUCAAAGCAAUUUAUUAACAGUAGUUAAUGAUAUUGAAGAUCAAGAAACUAAAGCUAAACUUCUUAAAAAACUAAUAAACAGUUUUGAAGACGUAGAUGAAGUAAAAAAUAUUACUCCUAAAAUUCAGUCUAAUAUUUAUGAUUUAACUACCAUUUUAAAUAAAAAUCAACCUAAAAAGGUCGAUAUAGAUGACUCUACUAAAGAAUUAUAUAAAGAAAUUAAGAUGCUAAAAAAUGAAGUAAAAGAAUUAAAAACCCAACUUCAACAAAAUUCUAAAAAAAUAAAAAUAUUAGAAUCUCAACUUAUUUCCAGUUCUUCUUCAGAAGAAGACGAACCAGAUAAUAAUUUAAAAAUAAAUGAAUUAGAUGAAGAUGUAGAUUGUAAUUUUCUCAAUUUAUUACAAGAAAUCACUUCACGAAAAUAUUUAGUAAAAAUAAACAUUCAAAUAAAUGAUUUUGUGAUAGAUGCAAUUGCACUCUUUGACACAGGUGCAGAUUUAAACUGUAUAAAAUCUGAUCUAGUUCCUAAAAGAUAUUGGUUAAAAACUAGUGAAAAAUUAAGUACAGCCAACAAAUCUAAACUUGAAAUUAUAGGAAAAACAGAUGCAAUAAUCAUAGAUCAAGCCUUAGAAAUAAACACAGUAUUUUUACUUUCACCUCAGAUAAAUUAUAUGGUAAUAUUAGGCACUCCAUUUAUAAAUCUCAUCACACCAUAUUCAGUUAAAGAGGAUUGUAUUAAAUUUAAAAUAAAAAAUUGCAAAGCUCAAUUGGAAUUUACGGAAAAACCUAAAAAGAAACAAUUAAAUUUACUAAAAGCUCAUUCUAUUAAAAUGUUAGAAAUAAAUUCUUUAAUCAAAUCUAAAGAAGAAAACUUAAAAGAUUUGAAAAAUAAUGCAUGUUUAAAUAGAAUUAAAAACCAAUUAAAUUCUGAUGAUAUCCAAAAUAAAAUCUCAACUCUAAAAAAUUUUAUGGAAAACAAAUUAUGUGCUGACCAUCCAAAUGCUUUUUGGAAUCGUAAACAACACAUAGUGGACUUACCAUAUGAAAAAGAUUUUGAUGAAAAAACCAUUAAAACUAAAGCUAGACCAAUUCAGAUGAGUCCUGAAUUGAUUGACCAUUGUAAAAAUGAAAUUCAAGAUUUACUUAAUAAAAAAUUAAUUUCUAAAUCUAGAAGCCCAUGGUCUUGUGCAGCUUUUUAUGUAAAUAAAAACGCUGAAAUAGAACGAGGUGCUCCCAGAUUAGUAAUAAAUUAUAAACCAUUAAAUACAGCUUUAAAAUGGAUUAGGUAUCCUAUUCCAAAUAAAAAAGAUCUAUUAAAGCAACUCUAUAAUGCAAAUAUUUUUAGUAAAUUUGAUAUGAAAUCUGGCUAUUGGCAGAUUCAAAUUGACCCUAACGACAGAUAUAAAACAGCAUUUACCGUUCCAUUUGGUCAAUACGAAUGGAAUGUAAUGCCUUUUGGAUUAAAAAAUGCUCCUUCUGAAUUUCAAAGGAUCAUGAAUGAUAUUUUUAACCCUUAUUCUAAAUUUUGUAUUGUUUAUAUUGAUGAUGUGCUUAUAUUUAGUACAACUCUAGAAGAUCAUUUUAAACAUUUAAAAACAUUUUGUAUGAUUAUCGAGAAAAAUGGUUUAGCAUUAAGUAAAGCUAAAAUGGAUUUGUUUAAAACUAAAAUAAGAUUUUUAGGACAUCAUAUAGAACAAGGUAAGAUUCAACCUAUAGAAAGAGCACUUGUUUUUGGUGAAAAAUUUCCUGAUGAAAUUUCUAAUAAACCCCAAUUACAACGUUUUCUUGGUUGUUUAAAUUAUGUAAUUGAUUUUUAUCCAAAUUUAAAUUGCAUGAUAAAACCUUUACAUAAUAGACUUUGUAAAAAUGCUGGUCCUUGGACAACUCAGCAUACUCAACUAGUAAAAAAGAUAAAAUCAUUAGUAAAAGAAAUCCCUUACUUAUAUAUUCCUGAUCCUAAUGCUUUUAAAAUUGUUGAAACUGAUGCUUCUAAUAUUGGUUAUGGCGGCAUUUUAAAACAAAAAAUUAAUAGUAAAGAAAGAAUAAACAAACUGAUGCUUCUAAUAUUGGUGGUGGUGACCUUGCAACUUUCUGGGCGGUUUCACUUUUCCGUCCACCGGGCGGCGGCGGCGGCGGCGGUUCGGGAUCGGCCGGCGAGACUCCGGCGAGACUUCAAAAGGCAGAAUGCUCUCCUCUUCGUGCGGAUCAUGGAAAUAAAAUCCGAUUUUCAAUCGGUACAUUGUAAGGCUUAAUUGUCCAUUUUUCGGUAUAAGGUUUACAACUUGAAUUAACUAAUUAAUUGGAUAUAAGAUUAAUUGAAUUAUUAAAAGUUGGGAGUUUUAUGAAAUUAAAUUGCAAUUUGUGAGUAAAUCCCAAAUUUAAUGACUUAAUGAAUUAAUCGAGUGUCAAGUGGAUUAAAUUGAAUAUUAUAAAAUGUAGUUCAUGAAUAUUAGUUAUAAUAUCGACUUUGAAAUAUGAAGUUUUGCUAAUAAUUAUAUACGUUAAUUUUUGGAAUUUAAUAAGUAUAAAUUGGAGAAAUUAUAAUGUAAGGUAUAGAUAAAUAAAAUUCAUGAUAUUAUGGAAAUUAAAAACUUAUUGGUGAUAGAAUUAUCAAGUGCCUAUGUAUGGUGAAUGACUAAUAAGUGAUGUUUAUGGUGGACGGGAUCGGUUAAUGUGAGUUGCCCGAUGGAUGGGCCGUGUGUUGACAUGUGAGAAAUAUAAAAUUGAGUAGUAUAGUUUAUAAGGGAAAUGCCGUCGAAAUUUCGGUAAAACACUUAAGAAAACUCUUAAAAGAUAGUACGAUUAAAAUUAUUAUCGUUAUUAAUAUUAUGUUGUCACCCGUAUUAUUAUUAUUAUUAGUAUUAUUAUGACUAUCAGUAUUUAUAAGAACAUUACUUAACGAAUGACCAAACGUUUUAUAUAAAACUAAUAACUUUGAAAUAAAUAUAUAAAUGAGGAAAACCCAACAUAUAUGCACAUAUAAUAAAUGAAUUAAAUGGCUGGUAACCAAAACUAAUAAAAGAAUGUGAAAUAUAAGUUUUCGAAUUAAAAUUUUUAUUUAGAAUUUUCUUGUUUAUUUUAAAGGUUUAUAAAAUACCAAAAUGCGAGGACAAAAGCUGGAAGCAUGUGGCUAAAAAGGCAGUCCUUUUAAAGGACAAUAAAGAACUGUGAGUAGUGUUAGAUAACUAGUAUCAUCCGCCUGCAUUCAUGCAUUCACGGCUAAAUGCUAUCAUGCAUUAAUUUGUUGAAUUGCCAUAUUGUGCUGCACUAAUUGUUGAUAUUAAAUAAAUUAUGUGAUUACUUGUGCUGUGUAUAUACUGUGCCUUGUUUGUGUGGAAUUGGGAUGAAGUGGGUCACCAUGGGUUUGUGAGACUGNNNNNNNNNNNNNNNNNNNNNNNNNNNNNNNNNNNNNNNNNNNNNNNNNNNNNNNNNNNNNNNNNNNNNNNNNNNNNNNNNNNNNNNNNNNNNNNNNNNNNNNNNNNNNNNNNNNNNNNNNNNNNNNNNNNNNNCUCUUUGGGCGCACCUGAUGAUCUAGAUUUGAUUGUAGCCCGCAGGGUGGCCUCCUGUUGUGAGCACUUGAUGAUCGAGAUUGGAUGGAGACCACCGAGUUGCCUCCUGUUGGUAUUUUUUUUUUAAACAAAAAAAAAAAAAAAAGAUAGUGAGACUGGAAAAAUAAUCAGAGGACCGACAGUGUGAGGAUUAUACCGGUCAGCCAGAAUGGGGGAUUGGCUCCCUGGUGCACAUGUGAGUGGAUGGGCCAUGUGGGAGGACGGCUCAUCGGGUUCCCGUGACUCCACUGACUAAUUUCCACGUGAUAUGAUUAUAUGAAGGUGAUAAUACUUGUGAUUGCUGUUGUAUUGCCAUUUGUGUGACAAACUGCAUGAUCAUAAACUUCAACAGUGACCAGAUAAAAAUAUUUUAGCAUCUGUGUGACUGUGUGGGGUGAGAGGGUUAUCUAACCCUACUCAUUGAGUUUGGCGCUCACCCCUGCCUACUUUUUUUUUCCAGGUAAUAGAAAGAAAGGAAAGCCCUAUGGAGUUGAAAUACUUAUUAUAGAAGACUUUUAAUGAUAGAAAUAACGAUGUGAAUGUAAAGGUAGAGUUCCGCAAUUGGAUUCCAGUUGGUUUGUAAAUAAAUAAUAAAAGUCCAUAUUACAUAUAUGAACUGUAUUUUGAAUGCAUAUGUAUAAUAAGUAAUGGGCCUGAAUCCAUAAUUAUGAAUAGAAUGUAAGAUUUAAAUAAGUUAGGCUUACUACGGGCUUUGGGGGCCUUAAGCCCACCCAAAUCCUAGUGCCGGUCCGGCCACGGAAAUGGUUCGUGACAUUACUGACUUAAGAGCCGCUCUUUUCUCUCCCUUCUCCAUCCAUGUCUUACAGAUUUCUAUAUCGGUGUAUUAUGGAUAAAUUUUUAUGAAUAUAUCACCUGUAAAUGCUAGCUAAAAUGCCAAGCAAGAGUUGAUCGAGACUUUUCUAUGUAUUUUAGGUUAAAAUCUAUUGCAUUUUGGCAGAAAUAACAAGUUAAUUAAGAAGAGGCUUCUAAGUUAAAAGAAAAGAAUUGCCUACUCCCUAGUGUAUAUCCACUCACAUUCUAAAUCAAUCAAAAAGAUGUUUUUGACUGUAAUGAGUUAUUUCUGUCUAUUCACUAAGAAAAAUAUAAAACAACAAUAAAUUAAAGAAAAACCUUUAUUUUUUUAGAAGAAAGAAAAUAUCUAUUAAUUGAUUUGUCGUACGAAAUUAUCUCAUAGUGUAAGUAUAGGCAAAUUUUAUCAUAUAAAUUAUAGGUCAAAACGAUGAGAUAUUUUAAGGAUACAACAUCUCCUUUUGAAAUUCACCACUUGGAAAAAAUGAGAUUCCCUCCCAAAUUUCAUUAAUAUGAAAAUCUUUUUGUCUCUAAUAUGAAAUUUUUUUAUUAUUUAAAUAUUUUUUAUCGAAACCAUUUUAAUGAUUCUUAACAAAAUACUAUAUAUUUGCUUACUUUUCACUAAUCAGUGAUUACAUUCUAUAUUUGCACCAAAACCACUAAAUCAAUUACUUGUCUUAGUGAAAUAGCCAUUUGGUUAUUUAAAUAUCUGUUGAUAUUGAAAUCAUUAUUUAUUCAUUUGAUUUUUCAACUUUUUAUAUUGCAGCGAAAACAUCGAUUGACAUUAUAGUUUUAGUGCAACAGACUCUCUAUUAUAACAUGUAGUAAAUAGUUUCCAUUUUGAAUCAAAUUGGUAAAUAGUUUUUGAAACAACAUUAUUUUUGUUAAUGUCUUUAUCAAUGGCAAGUAAAAGUUGAUUGAGAUAAUUUUUUUUUUUUUAAGUUAAAAUCUAUUGCAUUUCAAAAAAUAGCAUUUUGUUAUAAAUAAUAACAAAAAACGAUGAUAUAUAGCAAGGACAUGAAAUUUCCUUUUAACUCAUCAGAAUAAAAAAAACGAAAAUGAUUUUUCCUUCCCAAACUUUUUUUUUAUAUGUAUAUAUAAAGUCGGUUCAUCUUGUACUGUCAAUAUCAUUACAAAUCAUAAUCAAGUCCUUAUGGUUAUGACUCACUAGUGUAUCUUUACCCUUUUAGCAGCAUUUUUGCAUAGUAUUGAGCUCCAUGACUUUGCAGGUAUGAUAUAUUAUUUNNNNNNNNNNUUUUUUUUUUUUUUUUGCAAACUUAAUUAACUGAAUUUAACUACUUACAAACUAUCAUUUCUCUGUGCAGGAGCUCAAACUAUUGGUGUUAACUUAUGGCAGAGUUGCUGACAACCUUCCCCUUCCUCAUCAAGUAAUACUGUGUGCAAAUCCAAGAACAUUCAAAGAAUUGAAAAACGAAACCUAAAUUACCCACUUCCCAUUUCCCAAAAUGCCAUCAGAUUCUUCUUCCACGGCAACUAGAAGAUUAACCAAACCCCAUAACACAGGAGCUCCACCGGCAGACCAGGAACACCUUCCAUGCCCGCGCUGCGAUUCUACUAACACUAAGUUCUGCUAUUACAACAACUAUAUUUUUUCCCAGCCUCGUCAUUUCUGUAAGUCUUGUCGCCGUUCCUGGACCCACGGCGGCACCCUUCGUGACAUUCCGGUUGGUGGUGACACUCGGAAAAAUGCUAAAAGAUCACGCACCAGUUCUAGUGGUUUUACUGUAGUAGGUCCUAUGACGGCCACCACAGGUAACCAUAACCUUCCAUUACCGGCUACACCACUACUGGCCCCACUUAUGGCCAAUCAAGCAUCGUCUAUACAGUUUGGCUGCGGUGGCGGUGAUGGGAAGGGUAAUGUGAGUGGUUCUAGUGGUAAUUCUACAGUAUCGGGUAGCUUUACUUCUUUGUUGAAUACUCAGGGCCCUGGGUUUCUAGCAUUGAGUGGGUUUGGGCUUGGACUUGGAUCUGCGUUUGAAUAUAUGGGCUUUGGGCUUGCAAGAGGAGUCUGGCCUUUUCCCGGUGUAGGAGAUGGUGGUGCUGGUGGUGUUGGUGGCAAUGGCGGUUCUGCUGGAGGAAUGAGUAACACGUGGCAAUUUCCCUUUUAUAGUUUGCAGUAUAUAUUUCAAUUUGUAUUUAAUAUAUAAUAAUUGACUGAUUUGAUUUUUGAGGCCCACAUUUAAAUUUUAAUUCCUGGCAAAAUUUAUAAUGAUUUGCUAGUUCAACAUUAAUUGAGUGCAAUCAUUCUCAUAGCAUAAGCAUCACCCAAUUUCUACUCUCCUAUCCCAAUGCAUUACCUGCUCUACAGAUUUGCAGUUGGACCUCUAGAACCUCAGCCUAAUGAAUAAUCAAAUUGCAAAAAUUAUAUUUUCUUUUAUUUUGCAAUUAUUAAAGGGGCAUUUACAUUAAUUAUGAGAUAAAAAAUUAAUUAUGGUGUCGCUUGGACACACUCUACAUUUAUAAUUAAUUUUAACUUCAAUUUUCAUAAAUUUUCGAAUAGAAGAAGAGAUGACAAUGAUUUUUUCUCUGUUAACUAAAUAUGUUAACUAAAUAUUUUAAGUUCUAACAACAGAAUCUAAUUAGUCAGAAAAAAAAAAAUACUCUCUCUGUCUUAUAAAUAUAUAUUUACUUUAUCUUUUUUUUUAGACCACUUUUAUCACUACAAAAAAAACGGCAUUUUGUGACCGACCAAUCGGUCGCAAAAUGCCAAAAAAUCGGUCGCUAAAUCAAUUAGAGACCGAUUUGCGACGAAUACUGUCGGUCGCAAAUAAUCGGUCGCAAAUCAGUCGCAAAUCGGUCGCAGAAGUUAUUCCUAAUUUUGAAGCGCGCAAUUUUGCGACGGAAUAAAACGUAGUCGCAAACCGAUCGCAAAAUCGGUCGCAAAUCCGUAGUACAUUAGUCGCAAACUGAAAAACAAACUCCCGAGAAUUUUUAGCACUACAAUUAGCGACUGUUUGUCCAUAGAUCGCAAAUCGAUCGCAAAAUUGCGACUGAUUUGAAUCGAUCGCAAAUCGGCGAUUUUUUUUGUAGUGUAUCGUGGAAGAUACAAUUAUUUUCUUACUCUCGUAACCUACCUGAUACUUUGUUAGUAACAACGUUUGCAUUUUUUAUUGAAAGUGACAUAUUAUCUUAAUAUAGGGUAUGUUAGGAAAAAUGAAAGUAAAAUUUAAUAUUAUUCUAAUAAUAUUAAUUGCAUUGUUUAAUCUAUGUAAAAAUAAAAAUAAUCGUAUCUUUUUAGGCAAAGAGAGUAAUAUAAUAAAAAAAUUAAAAUUAAGCUUGACAUGUAUACUAGAAUGGAUUAAAUUAAAUAAGAUACUGUUAUUUUUCUUUAACAUUAAAUAAAAAGUUAAGGCCAAAUCAAACUAAAUUAUAUAUGAUAUAUAUUAUAUAUAAAAUACGAGGAUAAUGAGUUCCUAAAAUGCGUCGCUAAAUUUUCAAAUUGACAAAAAUAUUAUGGAUCGAGAACUUUAAUUUUGUUGGUUGAAAAAUAAAUAUAGUUUAAUUUUAAUUGUUUACGUCAAUUUGCUAUUUGAAUCUAAAUUUUAUUAAGAAGUUUAAUCUAAUUUUAAAUAGAAAAUUUUCUAAUUUAGUUUCAUGCAAAUUUGGAUAAAAAUAAAAUAAAAUAUUAUUAUUUAGAAAUUUUAAUUUAAUUGCUUAACUAAUUUCCUAUUAUAUAAUGAUUUGCUAUAUGUAAGGGAGAAAAAAAAAACGAUUACGUUAUAUUAAUCCUAUUAUACUACUUUCUACAUUGAAGGAAAAAAAAAACAACUGACUAAUUUCUUUCUGUUAUAUUCAUACCUUCUAUUCGUGGGUAAUAUAUAUAUAUAUAUAUAAAUAUUAAUAUAAAUAUAGAAAUUAUUAAUAUAAAUUAUUAUUAAUUAUUAAUAUAAAAUUAUAUAUAUAAAUAUAGAUAUUAUUAAUAUAUAUAGAUUUUGUUUUAAAAAUGAGUUUGAAAAUUAGCUUAUUCGACUCAAUUAGGAAUAUUAACUCGAUUAGGAGUAAGAAAUUAGCUUAUUCCACAAAUUAUAUGAAAUCAAUUAUUUACAUAAGCUAGUGUGAAAAAAUUUAUAGUGUUAUCAAAAUCCUUAAUUGUAGCGGUAUAUAUGAUAAAUCCCUCUUAACUUUUAGGGUGUCACAGUUGUUUUUUUUUUNNNNNNNNNNNNNNNNNNAUUAAUUUAGAUAUUUGGCUACAUAAUUAAUUAUUUCUUCUAUAUGUUUAGAUUUUGAUUUGAUAGAAAUAGAAUAAUAAUAAGGAGAUGACUGCAAUAAAUUGAAUUUUUUUUAUAAAAAGAAACCGAGCAAAGCUGAAAUUUGUUUAGAACCAAAUCAAACUAAUUUAAUUAAGCUUAGUUUGAUUUACCUUUUUGAUUUUUCCUUAUUUUUUAAGAUUUUAAAACUUAAAUAGUUAAAAAAAAAAAGAAUUUUCGAUUUUUCUGUAUACACUAAAAUUGAACUGAUAAAUUUUGAAAUCAAAUCCAUUCGAUUCGGUGAAUUCAGUCUAUUUUUUCAGAUAGUUCUCAGCCUAAUCCAAAUGAUGAAAUAUGGUAUGAAUAUAAAAAUUUCCAUUUAAAAUUCACAAGGAAAAUUUCUUUUCCUAAGAUAGCAUAUAUCUAUUUACGUUAAUUUUUUUUUUAAUCUAUAAAAUCAGUCCAUCUUAUAUUGUCAAAAUCAUUGCAAAUCAUAGAUUCAUAACUAAGUGCUCGUUAAGAUUAUCUAUGGCUCGUCCUAUCUUUAGCAUUUUAGCAGCUUUUUUGCUUAUUAUCGAGUUCCAUGACUUUGUUGGUAUGUUAUAUUAUUAUUUUUCUGAAAAAUAUUAUCAUAUUUGAUUAUUAUUAUACUUUGUACAAGUUUUUAGGAUUUGUUGGGCAAAAUUAACUGUUUUAGUUGUAUUUGAUUGUUAGUUAUUAACUGUUUGAGUAGUCCUAAAACAUUACAAGUUAAAUGUUAGAUUGGUUAAUUUUUUAUAAAACGCUACCUUAACUUCUAAAUUGAAUUGGUUAGACAGUUUAAACAAAAGUUUUUCUUCCCUUACUUCUUAUUUAAGUUACACAGUUUUUUCCAAAUGCUAAUUUUCUUGCCUGGUAAACCACCAUUGGUGCGAUGCAGGAGCAGAAAUUGGUGUGACCUUCUCAAGACUAGCAGACAACUUUCCACCAGCACAAGUAGCUGUAAAAUUUGCUAAAUCGAAGGGCUUCAAAAGAAUUCGUCUUUACAAGCCCCAUCACGAUGCGUUACAAGCACUGAAAGGUCAGGGCAUACAAGUGAUCUUAGGAGUUGGCGACGACGAAGUUGAAGCAGUAAGUAAAUCCGCUGCACCGAAAUGGGUCAAAGACAAUGUUGUGCCAUAUGCAAAUCAAAUAACCAUUAUAGCCAUAGCUAUUGGACAUGAUCUAAUCCCUAAUAGUAAAUUAGCAGUUUACGUUCUUCCUGCACUGCAAGCAAUGAAAGAAGCACUGGUAGAUCAUGGGCUUCCUUUUAUUUCUGUAACAACGCCAUUUACAUUAGAUACACUUCUUACACAUUUUCCUCCAUCCCAUUCAACUUUUGAUCCAGAAAAGAUUUAUCUUAUUAAACCCAUUAUCAAUUUCUUGGCAACUCAAAGUCCUCUUCUUUUAUGCGAUAUUUACCCUUAUGAAACUUAUCUAAGGGACUCUCACCUUGUCAGUUUAAAUUAUGCUUUGCUUAAUAAUACAAAUGUUGAGGUUGUAGAUGUUCCAUUCGGAUAUACCAAUAUGCUUGAUGGUUUAGUAGAUGCUUUUUACAGUGCAAUUGAAAAACUUGAAAACCUUGAAGCAGGAACUGUUAAGAUUGUUGUGAGUGAAACUGGGUGGCCGUUUUCCGAAGAAAUAUAUGCUUCUGCUCAAUAUGCAAGAACGUAUGCUUCAAAUGUGUUCAAACGGGGACAAGCAAAUACAGGAACACCGAAGAAACCUUCUUGGGCAUUGGAUGUUUUUGAAUAUAACUUGUUUUUUCAAGAUAAUGCUCCUCUAGAUAAGAAACCAUAUGCUUUAUUUUACCCUAAUAUGUCUGCCAUAUAUUUUAAUUAGGGUUUGUAUUGGAUAUUGUAAAAUCUUAUCACUUUUUUAUUUUAUAACUUAUUGUGUGUAAGAAUAAAUGUGAAAUAAUUUAUAUAUUUUAAGAUUUGCUGUCUGAAGUUUUCAUAUUUUCCAAAUUCAGUUCGAAAAGAAUUCCUUACAAAUUAUAUUUUGCCCACUCAAAAUGUAAAAAAUUAAUAUUUCACAGCAUUUGUUUCAGCCCUUGAACUUUAUUUUCUAAUUUCACCCUGCACUUAAUAAUGCAUGCAUUUCUUUCUUUUUCUUUUCUCUCUCUCUUUUUUUUUUUUUUUUCCGUUAUUUGUGUAUACCUAUCAAUGCUGGCUAUAAUGCCAAGUAAGAGUUCAUUGAGAUAAUAAAUAUUUUCUAGGUAGAUUAGGUUAAAAUCUAUUGCAUUUUGGCAGAAAUAACAAGUUAAUUAAGAAGAGGCUUAUAAAUUAAGAAAAGAAUUGCCUACUCCUCGCGUAUAUCCAGUUAUUCGUUCAUAUGCCAAAUCAAUUAAACAAAUGUUUUUGGCUGUAAUGGGAUAUUUUUGAUCAUUCAUUGAAAAAAAAAAUGAUAGAACAAUAAUAAAUUAAAAAAACUUCUAUUGAUUGAUUUGUGUAUGAUAAAUAUUUAUUAGAGACUUAACUGUAAUUUAUAUAUAAGACCUAAUUAUAUUUUAUGAACUAAAUAUUAUAUUGUGCAUAGAAUUUGAUUACGAUUAUUUCUAAUCAUUCGUCAACACUCAAUUCAUGAUCAAUCACUCCAAAAUAAUUAUUCAAUUGGUAUUUCAAACACUUGUUUAAUAAGGAUUCCAACUACAACUUUAAUCAAUAUCUUUCUACCAAACUCUCUACUCAGUUAGGCAAUAUCUACGCAAUAGGCAACAUAAUAUCUAUUUAAUUGGGAUUAUUUAUUAUUCUUUUACUGAGUUAAGAAUCAAAGUGGUUACUGAUCUAAGAGCCCCUCUUUUCUCUCCCUUCUCCAUCCAUGUCUUACAGAUUUCUAUAUCGGUAUAUUAUGGAUAAAUUUUUCUGAAUAUAUCACCUGUAAAUGCUGGCUAAAAUGCCAAGCAAGAGUUGAUUGAGACUUUUCUAUGUAUUUUAGGUUAAAAUCUAUUGCAUUUUGGCAAAAAUAACAAGUUAAUUAAGAAGAAGCUUAUAAGUUAAAGGAAAAGAAUUGCCUACUCCCUAGUGUAUAUUCGCUCACAUUCUAAAUCAAUCAAAAAGAUGUUUUUGAUUGCAAUGAGGUAUUUCUGACCAUUCACUGAGAAAAAUAUAAAACAAGAAUAAAUUAAAGAAAAACCUUUAUUUUUUUUUAGAAGAAAGAAAAUCUCUAUUAAUUGAUUUGUCGUACGAAAUUAUCUCAUAGUGUAAGUAUAGGCAAAUUUUAUCAUAUAAAUUAUAGGUCAAAACGAUGAGAUAUUAUAAGGAUACAACAUCUCCUUUUGAAAUUCACCACUUGGAAAAAAUGAGAUUCCCUCCCAAAUUUCAUUAAUAUGAAAAUCUUUUUGUCUCUAAUAUGAAAUUUUUUUAUUAUUUAAAUAUUUUUUAUUGAAACCAUUUUAAUGAUUCUUAACAAAAUACUAUAUAUUUGCUUACUUUUCACCCAUCAAUGAUUACAUUCUAUAUUUGCACCAAGACCAACAAAUCAUUUGUUCGUCUUAGUGAAAUAGCCAUUUGAUUAUUUAAAUAUUUUUUGAUAUUAAAGUCAUUGUUUAUUCAUUUGAUUUUUCAACUUUUUGCAUUGCAGUGAAAUUACUGAUUGACGAAGUAGUUUUAGUGCAACAUUCUCUGUAUUACAGCACACAGUAAAUAGUUUCCAUUUUGCAUCAAAUUGGAAAAUAGUUUUUGAAACAACAUUAUUUUUGUUAAUGUCUUUAUUAAUGGGAAGUAAAAGUUGAUUUUUAGGUUAGAGUCUAUUGCAUUUCAAAAAAUAGCAUUUUGUUAUAAAUAAUAACAAAAAACGAUGAUAUAUGGGAAGGACAUAAAAUUUCCUUUAAACUCAUCAGAAUAAAAAAAAGAAAAUGAUUUUUCCUUCCCAAACUUUUUUUUUAUAUGUAUAGUAUUGUCAGUCCAUCUUGUAUUGUCAAUAUCAUUACAAAUCAUAAUCAAGUUCUUAUGGUUAUGGUUCACUCUAUCUUUAGCCUUUUAGCAGCAUUUUUGCUUAGUAUUGAGCUCCAUGACUUUGCAGGUAUGAUAUAUUAUUUAUUUAUUUAUUUUUUGCAAACUUAAUUAACUGAAUUUAACUACUUAUAAACUAUCAUUUCUCUGUGCAGGAGCUCAAACUAGUGGUGUUAACUUAUGGCAGAGUUGCUGACAACCUUCCCUUUCCUCAUCAAGUAAUACUGUGUUACAACAACUAAGUUCUGCUAUUACAACAGCUAUAAUUUUUCCCAGCCUCGUCAUUUCUGUAAGUCUUGUCGCCGUUACUGGACCCACGGCGGCACCCUUCGUGACAUUCCGGUUGGUGGUGGCACUCGGAAAAAUGCUAAAAGAUCACGCACCACUUCUAGUGGUUGUACUGUAGUAGGUCCUAUGACGGCCAACACAGGUGACCAUAACCUUCCAUUACCGGCUACACCAGUACUGGUCCCACUUAUGACCAAUCAAGCAACGUCUAUACAGUUUGGCUGCGGUGGCGGUGAUGGGAAGGGUAAUGUGUGUGGUUCUAGUGGUAAUUCUACAGUAUCUGGUAGCUUUACUUCUCUGUUGAAUACUCAGGGUCCUGGAUUUCUAGCAUUGAGUGGGUUUGGGGUUGGACUUGGAUCUGGGUUUGAAGAUAUGGGCUUUGGGCUUGCAAGAGGAGUCUGGCCUUUUCCCGGUGUAGGAGAAGGUGGUGCCGGUGGUGUUGGUAGCAAUGGCG
rnacentral:lncRNA from 1 species